UGGCACUUUGUCCCUGGAUCCC
rnacentral:piRNA from 1 species